AAAAGGAUGUUUAUUGGUUUCCGUUUGAAAACCUUAUAAAUAGCAUAUGUGAUGUAUACACAAUGUAUCUCACAUGUGGCGUUUCAUUUCUAACUCUUUCUAUCUUGUUCUUUUUAGUUUCCCUUUUCAUGUAUCUCUUUUUGUUGCCUCUCCUGCUGGUCUCCAUCAAAAAACAUGUUUCAAGUAGUAAAUAGAUCGCACAAAACUAUCCAAUUUGUAUCCAUCCAUGUUUUAACUAUUGCCAUAUUUGUUCUUCUCUAUUCUCUUUUCCCACUACUAUACCUCUACCUCUCUCUGUUGCAUCUCUUGUUGGUCUGCAUUGAAGGAAUCUCUUUUAUGAAAGGUUGUCUUUUCGUCAAAAGAACGUUGAAACAUAAGAUUGAAUGUUAUAUAUGAUGUAUCUCACAUGAUAUACACCCAUCUAGUAUUAACUCUUGUUAUCUUUGUUUUUUUCUAUUUCCCUUUUACCAAGGAUACACUACUCCGCUCUCCGGUAUCUCCUGCUAGUCUCUGUUAGAAAACAUGUUUUCCACUGUACAUAGGAUGUACCGCACAUAAAUAUGUGCUUUGUCCAUAUACAAGCAGAGAAUAUAUUCUUCCAAGAGGGGUUAUUGAAGAGUGCAUAAGAAGCUCGACAAUGACUUUAAUCCUCCUAAACCAAACCCUCGGAUUCUCAAAUCUGCUUGUGGAAUUCAUGGAUUCCCUCAAUAGGCAUAAUUUCUUCAAAAUGUUGAAGGGAGUUCCAUCAAGAGGCUGCUUUCCUUUCAAUCUUUUGCUGUGCUAAGGAUAUCAAGAAGGGAAGGCAGAAGCGUGAGGGAAAUGUAGCAACGUGUUUCUAUCCCUUCAGAUCAUCCUAGAAGAAAUUCACCCUAUUUGGCCCGAAGAAUGGUGCCAGCAAUUUUAGCUUAAAGGUAUGUGAUGUGUUUUAACGUCUCUAUUCACAGCAUUCAGGCUUCAAUGGUAAAACGUAUAUAUGCAUAGCAACUAUGGCAAUUAUGUAACGCGCCUGAUCUCAGCGUAUAUGUUAGAUAUAAUCUUUUCUUCCCUUAAUACUCAAUCUUAAAUGCAAAUGCUUUUAACCAUGUUAAGAGAUUGAUAAAAGAGAUGUAUUAGCCUGAAUGCUAGAAAGAGAGACGUCAAACCAGACUGCAUACAUUUGCUAAAAUUGUUGGUAGAAUUGUUCGGUUCAGAUAUGCUGAAGUUUUUCCAGGAAGAUGUGAAGCGGUAGAUUCCCGCUGCUACAUUCUCCCUCGCACUUCUGUUUUUCCUUGUCGACAUCCUUGGCACAGCUGAAGGUGGAAAAGAAGGUAGUACAUAAUCUCUUUGGAAUACAACUGAUGUCAAUUUGAGCAGAAGCCGAGGAAGAGAGAUUGUUCGGUCCAUUAACAACAGCUUUGUUUUCUGAGGUAUGUACUGCAUCCAUACUGAUUCCCUUAGCAGAUUUACUGUCAAAUAUCAUCCAAUUGUUCUAAAUUAUCCAAAUCAUAUCAAAUCACAAAGUAAACCGAUAACUCAUUUCUCUUAUGCUUUCCUUUAUCUUACAUCAAGGAAAGUAUAGCUAAUCCCAAAACCAAGUAUUCAACAUGAUUGCAGGCAAGUGGCCAGUGCUUGACGCAGGAGGUCCAGAUUUAUAUAAUGAAGGAAGGCGAUUACAAGGUAGCGGAUGACUAGCAAGGCAUGGAAGUAAUUGGAAGUUUUCGUAAAUCGUAAUGUUCUAUGAUGUACCCCGGUUUGAACCAUUUAACUUACAAGUAUCGUUUCCAUAUGUCUAAUAUAUACAUGGACAUCAUUACCUAAUGAGAGUUUACUCUCUUCACUAUAU